rnacentral:rRNA from 1 species
UACGUAGGGGGCUAGCGUUGUCCGGAAUCAUUGGGCGUAAAGAGCGUGUAGGCGGCCUGGUAAGUCCGCUGUAAAAGUCAAAGGCUUAACCUUUGAAUGUCAGUGGAUACUGCCGGGCUAGAGUCCGGAAGAGGCGAGUGGAACUCCUGGUGUAGCGGUGGAAUGCGCAGAUAUCAGGAAGAACACCCGUGGCGAAGGCGGCUCUCUGGGACGGUACUGACGCUGAGACGCGAAAGCGUGGGGAGCGAACAGG